GGCCAAAAGACCUAGUCUCUUACAAAGGAAAGACCUGGUUGGCCUCAAACUUCUCAACAAAGCAAGAUAGCAAUGGGGCAACCUUUUCAAGAAACUCAAAGUAUGAACUGAGGAUUUCAUAUUUCACCAAGCUGUCCUUUAAGUAUCAAGGAUAUAGGAAGAAGUUUUAAUUACACAAGAGCCCAGGGACUAUUAUACUCACAACUUCUUCCUUAGAAUUCUACUAAAAGACAAGCUUCAUCCAACUAGAUGAUUGGGGAAACUUGAGCAAAAGGACUGGACAUGACCAUUGAAUAUCUUUGUAGAUCUGAGGCCAAAUGGAAGUG
rnacentral:lncRNA from 1 species